rnacentral:lncRNA from 1 species
CGUGCUUCUGUAAGAUCAGAUCCUUGUUUAAUUCUCUAUCUUAACAUCCUUAAUAAAAGAGAACUAUUGUUGUUGAAGCAAGUAGAUGAUAAACAAUGUUAGUGAUCUACAUGUACAUGUUUAUUCUUACAGCCAAUUCCAUUGAGUUUGUAGGUAUAGGUAAUAUCAUGAAGUCAUUUUAAGAUUAGGUACUAAACUACUCUUCUUUAACAUGUUGAAGAGUAGACUAGUAACCAAUAUAUCUGUAUGUAGGACUACAUUUGUAUGUCACAUUGUAC